CAGUAGUCAACAUUGGCACUCAGGACUUAAUUGAAGGAAGAGUAAGUUGGUUCAACUUUUGCAUGCAUAUAUUGUGUAUUUUUAGUUUGAGCUAUAAAUCCAAAAGUUGAUUAAUUCCAAUGCUUUUCUGCAGCCUCAUUUGGUUAUGGGGUUGAUAAAUCAAAUAAUAAAGAUCCAACUAUUGGUCGAUCUCAAUCUCAGGAAGACACCACAGCUUGUUGAAUUGGUGGAAGACAACAAUGAUGUCGAGGAACUUAUGGGGUUAGGCCCGGAGAAGCC